rnacentral:lncRNA from 1 species
ACUUAAGCCCUGCCUAGGUUCCUAGGAAAUGGGCAGGAAAAGUGCCUGCCACCUGCUGCUUGCUGGUGUGCUGUUUUGGCAGCAGGAGCUGUGGGAACACACAGGGGCAGGAGAACAAACACAUUACACACGAGGACUUCCAUCCUCCAGCCAGCAAGGUGCCGACACCUCACACUUGACACCUGCUGAGCGCCCUACUGUGUGCCCCGCCCCCCUGAACGAGGCAGCCUCGGAGCUUGGAUCCUAGUUGGAGAGACAGGCAAUUAGCAGGAUGGCAGAUCCACAUCCAGGAUCCUGGGAAGCACUUGACAGAGGGGAGGAGCCCAGCAAUAACACUGACCAAAGAGAAGUGAAUCCUUUUGCCCAGUGACUGGAAGACACAAGAAAGUGGUGGGGGGUGGGAGGCAGGGGGGAAGGAGCCUGGCACCUUGCCACGCUUCCCCUGUAAGGAGCACACACCCUCUCCCC